GGGGGUGAUAUGGUUUCGACAGGGAACUUUGAGUGUGAGAGAUGCAUGCCGGAGACGCUAUCCACUCCGUUAACAAGUGGCAACAAAAAUUAAUUGCAAACAACAACUACUCCUUAGCAGCAUAAGCCGCUAACGUUCCACCUUCCCGUUCCGUCGGGGAAGAAUGGGGCGUCGUAACAGUACGGACGCUCUGCAAGUAGUGCCUGGUGCUUGCAGCUAAGACUACGGGCUGGGUUCAGAAUGGGUCUGAUUGCCUUCCCAUCUGAACUGAGACUAAAGACAACUAAGCAUGUAGAUUCGCUUGCAAGCGGUUCUUUGGACGCGGGUUCGAUACCCGCCACCUCCACCA
rnacentral:tmRNA from 1 species